rnacentral:SRP_RNA from 9 species
AAAGGCCGUACAUGUCCGGUAUCAUGGGAAUAGUGAUGAAACUCGGUCUUACGCAAUGGGAAUCUACGAACCGUGUCAGGUUGGGAACAAAGCAGCACUAAGUAGAACCUUCCAUGUGCCGUGAGGAAACUGGGUGGAGCUGUUAUCCUGGUCCGGCAUGUGCGGUUUU